GGCCCAAUGGUCUAGAAGUAUGAUACACGCUUCGGGUUUAAUCCCGUGACUUUCGAGUCAUGUGACUGUGUGUGGUCCCGGGUUCAAUUCCCGGUUGGGCCC